rnacentral:rRNA from 1 species
AUUGAACGCUGGCGGCAUGCCUUACACAUGCAAGUCGAACGGCAGCACGGGAGCAAUCCUGGUGGCGAGUGGCGAACGGGUGAGUAAAGUAUCGGAACGUGCCCAGUCGUGGGGGAUAACGUAGCGAAAGUUACGCUAAUACCGCAUACGAUCUAUGGAUGAAAGCGGGGGAUCGCAAGACCUCGCGCGAUUGGAGCUGCCGAUAUCAGGUUAGGUAGUUGGUGGGGUAAGGGCUCACCAAGCCGACGAUCUGUAGCUGGUCUGAGAGGACGGCCAGCCACACUGGGACUGAGACACGGCCCAGACUCCUACGGGAGGCAGCAGUGGGGAAUUUUGGACAAUGGGCGAAAGCCUGAUCCAGCCAUGCCGCGUGCAGGAUGAAGGCCUUCGGGUUGUAAACUGCUUUUGUACGGAACGAAAAGGUUUGGCCUAAUAAGCUGAGCUCAUGACGGUACCGUAAGAAUAAGCACCGGCUAACUACGUGCCAGCAGCCGCCGUAA